rnacentral:rRNA from 1 species
UACGUAGGGUGCGAGCGUUAAUCGGAAUUACUGGGCGUAAAGCGUGCGCAGGCGGUUUGUUAAGACCGAUGUGAAAGCCCCGGGCUCAACCUGGGAAUUGCAUUUGAGACUGCUCUGCUCGGGUGCGGAAGAGGGAAGCGGAAUUUCCGGUGUAGCGGUGAAAUGCGUAGAUAUCGGAAGGAACACCAGUGGCGAAAGCGGCUUCCUGGUCCGACACCGACGUUCAGGCACGAAAGCGUGGGGAGCAAACAGG